rnacentral:rRNA from 1 species
UCCUACGGGGGGCAGCAGUGGGGAAUUUUGCGCAAUGGGCGAAAGCCUGACGCAGCAACGCCGCGUGGAGGAUGAAGGCCUUCGGGUCGUAAACUCCUGUCGAUGGGGACGAAAGCCUCGCAAGAGGUUUGACUGUACCCGUUGAGGAAGCCACGGCUAACUCCGUGCCAGCAGCCGCGGUAAUACGGAGGUGGCAAGCGUUGUUCGGAAUUACUGGGCGUAAAGGGCGCGUAGGCGGCUUGGCAAGUCAGAUGUGAAAGCCCCGGGCUUAACCCGGGAAUUGCAUCUGAAACUGCUUUGCUUGAGUCCUGGAGGGGGUAGUGGAAUUCCCAGUGUAGCGGUGAAAUGCGUAGAUAUUGGGAGGAACACCUGCGGCGAAGGCGGCUACCUGGACAGUGACUGACGCUGAGGCGCGAAAGCUAGGGGAGCGAACGGGAUUAGAUACCCCGGUAGG